rnacentral:hammerhead_ribozyme from 1 species
AUCCGGUAGGCGAAUCCCAAACAGGAUGAAACGUGCGUCCUGGAU